AUGAUCCUGGAGGAUGAAGGUGUUUUGGGCAGCAUUGAGAAUUCUUUUCAGAAGUUCCAUGCUUUCUUGGAUCUCCUUAAGGAUGCUGGGCUGGGGCAGCUUGCCACAAUGGCUGGUAUAGAUCAGUCAGAUUUUCACUUACUAGGUCAUCCCCAGAUGAAUUCUACUGUUAGCAGUCUACCU